rnacentral:rRNA from 1 species
UACGUAGGUGGCAAGCGUUAUCCGGAUUUAUUGGGCGUAAAGGGAACGCAGGCGGUCUUUUAAGUCUGAUGUGAAAGCCUUCGGCCUAACCGGAGUAGUGCAUUGGAAACUGGGAGACUUGAGUGCAGAAGAGGAGAGUGGAACUCCAUGUGUAGCGGUGAAAUGCGUAGAUAUAUGGAAGAACACCAGUGGCGAAAGCGGCUCUCUGGUCUGUAACUGACGCUGAGGUUCGAAAGCGUGGGUAGCAAACAGG